GCCUGGGUGGCUCAGUUGGUUGAGCACCUGACUUCAGCUCAGGUCAUGAUCCCACAGUUCGUGAGUUUGAGCCCUGCGUCAGGCU
rnacentral:tRNA from 1 species